rnacentral:rRNA from 1 species
GACGAACGCUGGCGGCGUGCUUAACACAUGCAAGUCGAACGGAAAGGCCCUGCUUUUGUGGGGUGCUCGAUUGGCGAACGGGUGAGUAACACGUGAGUAACCUGCCCUUGACUUUGGGAUAACUUCAGGAAACUGGGGCUAAUACCGGAUAGGAGCUCCUGCUGCAUGGUGGGGGUUGGAAAGUUUCGGCGGUUGGGGAUGGACUCGCGGCUUAUCAGCUUGUUGGUGGGGUAGUGGCUUACCAAGGCUUUGACGGGUAGCCGGCCUGAGAGGGUGACCGGCCACAUUGGGACUGAGAUACGGCGCAGACUCCUACGGGAGGCAGCAGUGGGGAAUAUCGCACAGUGGGCGGAAGCCUGAUGCAGCAACGCCGCGUGCGGGAUGACGGCCUUCGGGUUGUAAACCGCUUUCGCCUGUGACGAAGCGUGAGUGACGGUAAUGGGUAAAGAAGCACCGGCUAACUACGUG